CCCGGCGACCGGCGCACGGGUGAGUAACACGUAUGCAACCUGGCCGCCACAGGGGGAUAACCCGCGGAAACGCGGCCUAAUACCCCGUGACGCCACCGGAGGGCAUCCUCCGGUGGCCAAAGGAGCGAUCCGGUGGCGGAUUGGGCAUGCGGCGCAUUAGCUAGACGGCGGGGUGACGGCCCACCGUGGCGACGAUGCGUAGGGGUUCUGAGAGGAAGGCCCCCCACACUGGGACUGAGACACGGCCCAGACUCCUACGGGAGGCAGCAG
rnacentral:rRNA from 1 species